GAAGCAAUUCCAAACUUUACGGAACAAAAUCUCAGAAUUAUUGGGUGCUGGUGGAUUGGCUAAUAUUUCUCAGUCUCUCUUUGUCAUCAGCGUUGGAAGCAACGACAUCUUUGAAUUAUUCGCUGCUAAUAACCUGACUAAAAGAACCGAGCAAGACUACUUGAGCAUACUCAUCUCCUCUUACGAAACUCAUUUAAGGAACUUAUUUAUGCUCGGAGCAAGGAAGUUUGGGAUUAUCAGCGUCUCACAAAUUGGGUGCUGCCCUGCCCAGCGAAAGCUCAGUGAAAGAGGCGGGUGUUUGGAGGCCAUGAAUGCUUAUGCACACUUGUUCUAUACGUCACUCCAAGUCCUCUUGCAGAAGUUGAGCUUACAAUGCAGAGGGAUGAUCUACGCACUUGGAGAUACAUAUAAAAUGACCCAAGUUAUUAUGGAAAAUCCUCUUCCAUUUGGGUUGGUGGAGGUGAAUAAGGCUUGUUGUGGUAAAGGGAAAUUGAAUGCAGAGUUUCCAUGUGAACCAGAUUCGGAUUUGUGUGAAAAUCGCC